rnacentral:rRNA from 1 species
AUUCUCGAACUCCGAACGGGCAAGGAGCCGGGGUCGCCCGAUCGGACCCCGGACGUGAAGUCGACGAUGGUCGGUGGGCUGGUUUUGGUAAGCAGAACGGGCGAUUCGGGAUGAACCGGAAGCGGGGAGAAAGGGCCCGAGAUUGCGUCGACGCGGAUCCCGAAAAGGGCGUCGAUCCGUCGCGACAGCGGGACGGUGGUCAUGGAAGUCGAAAUCCGCUAAGAAGCGUGUAAAAACGUACCCGCCCAACGGAUCGGCCCCGAAAAUUGAUGGCGCUCGAACGCAACCCUCGAACCCCGCCGACGGAGGCUAGGGGAGGCCCCGUCGAGUAGGCGGACGCGCGGGUCGCUUCGACGCUCUCGCGCGAGCGGGGGCGGAGCGGCCCGUGGUGCAGAUCUUGGUGGUAGUAGCGAUCACCCAGGCGAGAACCCUGAGGGCCGAAGUGGAGAAGGGUUUCUCGAGAACGGC